CCAGAGCGGCUCAGCCGCCGCAACGCAAAUGUUGGCGCCGGUACCGGCGACGAUACAAUUUUCGAGUUAAGUGAUCAAAUCUGGGGAUCUCGUGGAGGAGAUAAAGAGAAAGAGAAGGAGAAUGGACGGGAGGGGGAGCGGAAUGGGGCGUAGGAGAAGAAGCUACGGAUAAAGGAUUGGUUUUGAGGUCCUUUUGCAGAGUGACCGCGACAUGCUUGAUGAAAUGCCUGAACAGUCGCAGAAUGUUAUGUUGUAAUAUUUUAGUUCUUCUUUGGCUUGCAUGGAAGUUGCCUUAAUCUUGCGGAACGCCUGGAUAUUGCAAUAGAUGUUGCUCAUGCCAUCACUUCUCCAUAUGUAUACAGGUUUCUUGACCUUAGCUGGGCUCCUCCUCAGAGGAGGAGAACAUAAUUUGCAGCCUCUUCGUCAGAAUUGGAAGCAGGUCUGCUUAUGCAUGUAUAUGCAUGGUUGAAAGCCAGCCUCAAAAUUAAGUUUCGACAGCAGAAUUCACUGAAAAAUCUGUUUUUUUUUUUAAUCCCAUAACGAAAAUAUAUAGUAUUUCAGUUAAAAAAUCUGGCUUUUAUUGAAACGGGUGGUCUUUGAUUGCCGCCGAGUUGCCGGGAAGAACAGACAACGAUAUAAAGAACUACUGCAAUUCUUGCUCCA